rnacentral:rRNA from 1 species
UGAGGAAUAUUGGUCAAUGGGCGGGAGCCUGAACCAGCCAAGCCGCGUGAGGGAGGAAGGCCCUAUGGGUCGUAAACCUCUUUUGUCAGGGAACAAAAGCGAGUAUGUAUACUGGUCUGAGUGUACCUGAAGAAAAAGCAUCGGCUAACUCCGUGCCAGCAGCCGCGGUAAUACGGAGGAUGCGAGCGUUAUCCGGAUUUAUUGGGUUUAAAGGGUGCGUAGGCGGCGGUGCAAGUCAGCGGUAAAAGCCCGGGGGCUCAACCCCGGCGAGCCGUUGAAACUGCAGUGCUAGAGAAGGCGAGAGGUACGCGGAAUGCGCAGUGUAGCGGUGAAAUGCUUAGAUAUUGCGCAGAACUCCGAUUGCGAAGGCAGCGUACUGGCGCCUGACUGACGCUGAGGCACGAAAGCGUGGGGAUCGAACAGGAUUAGAUACC